rnacentral:rRNA from 1 species
GAUGAACGCUGGCGGCGUGCUUAACACAUGCAAGUCGAACGAUGAAGCCCAGCUUGCUGGGUGGAUUAGUGGCGAACGGGUGAGUAACACGUUAGUAACCUGCCCUUAACUCUGGGAUAAGCCUGUGAAACUGGGUCUAAUACCGGAUAGGAGCGCCUACCGCAUGGUGGGUGUUGGAAAGAUUUAUCGGUUUAGUAUGGACUCGCGGCCUAUCAGCUUGUUGGUGAGGUAAUGGCUCACCAAGGCGACGACGGGUAGCCGGCCUGAGAGGGUGACCGGCCACACUGGGACUGAGACACGGCCGAGACUCCUACGGGAGGCAGCAGUGGGGAAUAUUGCACAAUGGGCGAAAGCCUGAUGAAGAGACGCCGCGUGAGGGAUGACGGCCUUCGGGUUGUAAACCUCUUUCAGUAGGGAAGAAGCGAAAGUGACGGUACCUGCAGAAGAAGCACCGGCUAACUACGUG